rnacentral:tRNA from 1 species
GUCUCAGUAGCGUAGUGGUUAGUGCACGGCCUCGGAGAGCGUUGAGACGCGGGUUCGAAUCCCGCCUGAUAUG